GGUUAAGCGACUAAGCGUACACGGUGGAUGCCCUGGCAGUCAGAGGCGAUGAAGGACGUGCUAAUCUGCGAAAAGCGUCGGUAAGGUGAUAUGAACCGUUAUAACCGGCGAUGUCCGAAUGGGGAAACCCAGUGCGAUUCGUUGCACUAUCGUUAACUGAAUACAUAGGUUAACGAGGCGAACCGGGGGAACUGAAACAUCUAAGUACCCCGAGGAAAAGAAAUCAACCGAGAUUCCCCCAGUAGCGGCGAGCGAACGGGGAGCAGCCCAGAGUCUGAAUCAGCUUGUGUGUUAGUGGAACGGUCUGGAAAGUCCGACGGUACAGGGUGAUAGUCCCGUACACCAAAAUGCACAGGUUGUGAACUCGAAGAGUAGGGCGGGACACGUGGUAUCCUGUCUGAAUAUGGGGGGACCAUCCUCCAAGGCUAAAUACUCCUGACUGACCGAUAGUGAACCAGUACCGUGAGGGAAAGGCGAAAAGAACCCCGGCGAGGGGAGUGAAAAAGAACCUGAAACCGUGUACGUACAAGCAGUGGGAGCACCUUCGGGUGUGACUGCGUACCUUUUGUAUAAUGGGUCAGCGACUUAUAUUCUGUAGCAAGGUUAACCGUAUAGGGGAGCCGCAGGGAAACCGAGUCUUAACUGGGCGUUAAGUUGCAGGGUAUAGACCCGAAACCCGGUGAUCUAGCCAUGGGCAGGUUGAAGGUUGGGUAACACUAACUGGAGGACCGAACCGACUAAUGUUGAAAAAUUAGCGGAUGACUUGUGGCUGGGGGUGAAAGGCCAAUCAAACCGGGAGAUAGCUGGUUCUCCCCGAAAGCUAUUUAGGUAGCGCCUCGUGAACUCAUCUUCGGGGGUAGAGCACUGUUUCGGCUAGGGGGUCAUCCCGACUUACCAACCCGAUGCAAACUACGAAUACCGAAGAAUGUUAUCACGGGAGACACACGGCGGGUGCUAACGUCCGUCGUGAAGAGGGAAACAACCCAGACCGCCAGCUAAGGUCCCAAAGUCAUGGUUAAGUGGGAAACGAUGUGGGAAGGCACAGACAGCCAGGAUGUUGGCUUAGAAGCAGCCAUCAUUUAAAGAAAGCGUAAUAGCUCACUGGUCGAGUCGGCCUGCGCGGAAGAUGUAACGGGGCUAAACCAUGCACCGAAGCUGCGGCAGCGACACUAUGUGUUGUUGGGUAGGGGAGCGUUCUGUAAGCCUGCGAAGGUGUGCUGUGAGGCAUGCUGGAGGUAUCAGAAGUGCGAAUGCUGACAUAAGUAACGAUAAAGCGGGUGAAAAGCCCGCUCGCCGGAAGACCAAGGGUUCCUGUCCAACGUUAAUCGGGGCAGGGUGAGUCGACCCCUAAGGCGAGGCCGAAAGGCGUAGUCGAUGGGAAACAGGUUAAUAUUCCUGUACUUGGUGUUACUGCGAAGGGGGGACGGAGAAGGCUAUGUUAGCCGGGCGACGGUUGUCCCGGUUUAAGCAUGUAGGCUGGUUGUCCAGGCAAAUCCGGAUAAUCAAGGCUGAGGUGUGAUGACGAGGCACUACGGUGCUGAAGUAACAAAUGCCCUGCUUCCAGGAAAAGCCUCUAAGCAUCAGGUAACAUCAAAUCGUACCCCAAACCGACACAGGUGGUCAGGUAGAGAAUACCAAGGCGCUUGAGAGAACUCGGGUGAAGGAACUAGGCAAAAUGGUGCCGUAACUUCGGGAGAAGGCACGCUGGUGUGUAGGUGAAGUCCCUGCGGAUGGAGCUGAGACCAGUCGAAGAUACCAGCUGGCUGCAACUGUUUAUUAAAAACACAGCACUGUGCAAACACGAAAGUGGACGUAUACGGUGUGACGCCUGCCCGGUGCCGGAAGGUUAAUUGAUGGGGUUAUCCGUAAGGAGAAGCUCUUGAUCGAAGCCCCGGUAAACGGCGGCCGUAACUAUAACGGUCCUAAGGUAGCGAAAUUCCUUGUCGGGUAAGUUCCGACCUGCACGAAUGGCGUAAUGAUGGCCAGGCUGUCUCCACCCGAGACUCAGUGAAAUUGAACUCGCUGUGAAGAUGCAGUGUACCCGCGGCAAGACGGAAAGACCCCGUGAACCUUUACUAUAGCUUGACACUGAACAUUGAGCCUUGAUGUGUAGGAUAGGUGGGAGGCUUUGAAGCGUGGACGCCAGUCUGCGUGGAGCCAACCUUGAAAUACCACCCUUUAAUGUUUGAUGUUCUAACGUUGGCCCCUUACCGGGGUUGCGGACAGUGUCUGGUGGGUAGUUUGACUGGGGCGGUCUCCUCCCAAAGCGUAACGGAGGAGCACGAAGGUUAGCUAAUCCUGGUCGGACAUCAGGAGGUUAGUGCAAUGGCAUAAGCUAGCUUGACUGCGAGCGUGACGGCGCGAGCAGGUGCGAAAGCAGGUCAUAGUGAUCCGGUGGUUCUGAAUGGAAGGGCCAUCGCUCAACGGAUAAAAGGUACUCCGGGGAUAACAGGCUGAUACCGCCCAAGAGUUCAUAUCGACGGCGGUGUUUGGCACCUCGAUGUCGGCUCAUCACAUCCUGGGGCUGAAGUAGGUCCCAAGGGUAUGGCUGUUCGCCAUUUAAAGUGGUACGCGAGCUGGGUUUAGAACGUCGUGAGACAGUUCGGUCCCUAUCUGCCGUGGGCGCUGGAGAAUUGAGGGGGGCUGCUCCUAGUACGAGAGGACCGGAGUGGACGCAUCACUGGUGUUCGGGUUGUCAUGCCAAUGGCACUGCCCGGUAGCUAAAUGCGGAAGAGAUAAGUGCUGAAAGCAUCUAAGCACGAAACUUGCCCCGAGAUGAGUUCUCCCUGAGACUUUAAGUCUCCUGAAGGAACGUUAAAGACGAUGACGUUGAUAGGCCGGGUGUGUAAGCGCAGCGAUGCGUUGAGCUAACCGGUACUAAUGAACCGUGAGGCUUAACCUUACAACGCCGAAGAUGUUUUG
rnacentral:rRNA from 1 species